rnacentral:rRNA from 1 species
GACGAACGCUGGCGGCGUGCUUAACACAUGCAAGUCGAACGGAAAGGCCCUGCUUUUGUGGGGUGCUCGAGUGGCGAACGGGUGAGUAACACGUGAGUAACCUGCCCUUGACUUUGGGAUAACUUCAGGAAACUGGGGCUAAUACCGGAUAGGAGCUCCUGCUGCAUGGUGGGGGUUGGAAAGUUUCGGCUGUUGGGGAUGGACUCGCGGCUUAUCAGCUUGUUGGUGGGGUAGUGGCUUACCAAGGCUUUGACGGGUAGCCGGCCUGGGAGGGUGACCGGCCACGUUGGAACUGGACUAAGGCACGGACUACUACGGGACGCAGGAGAGGGGAAUAGUGCACAAUGGGCGGAAGCCUGAUGUAGCAAAGCCGCGUGCGGGAUGACGGCCUUGGGGUUGUAAACCGCUUUCGCCUGUGACGAAGCGUGAGUGACGGUAAUGGGUAAAGAAGCACCGGCUAACUACGUG